rnacentral:lncRNA from 1 species
GGCCAACAGACUGGACUGAGGAGAAGGGUUGGGAGCCGCAGGACCUGGGUCCCGGUAAAAUACUUCCGUCGCGCGCAGCCCUCAUCUGAGGCAAGCUCUCACGGAAUAUUUUUAUUUUUUUUACAAAUGUGCAUGAAUGAUUUUUGCCUCCAUGCAUCAAGAGCGUACCCUGGUGCCUCUCGUGGGAUUUUUACAGAACAGAGUGUUGAAAGAGUGUGUUGUAGAGACCAAAACAGCAUUUUCUUCCAGGUCUGUGGUGCGAAUGUGGUUGAAAGGUUAACACACAUUUUAAAAAGUUUUAUGAAGUUCAACUUGUAAACUUCAGUCUGAGCCUUGAAGUUUUAAUUAUUUGAAGUUUCAACAUAUUAUUUGAAUUUUUAUUUUAUUAUUUGAAUUAUAUGAAGUUUUAACAUUUUAAAAUUAAAGUUUUUGAAGCAGCUUAUAAAUUUGCACGCAUUCUUUUGGGAUUUUAAUUGGAGUUGCGGUUUUAAAAUUUUAAACGCGCCUUUAGUAAUUUUACAUUUCACCUUGUGAAUACUUAAAUCUGUAACUGUUUGAGUAAAAAGCUGAGUACUAUUGUGUUCGAAUCUGUGCAAGUUGAUGAGCGAAAGGUCCGGGUUGCAGGUCUCAGCCUCGGACCAGCCGCCAGGGGGCGCGGUCCGCACAUCAGCAGGCCGCCUCGCUUUUGGGACCUACACGCCAGGGCCAACGCAGAGGCGGGCCACAGCAGCUGAUGACGCUCGAGCGAUGAUGCCUCUGCUAGAAAUGAUGUACUAACCUCCCCUCCUGCUUAACGGACGGACGGAGAGCAGGAUGAUCCUGAGGACUCAAGUUGUCCCUCGUCAAGGCCCUACAUAAUAUUUUAUCCUUCAUCAUCACGAUGACAUAUAGAAGACAGGGCAACUGUGUCCACAGACUCUGGGCGUUAUUUGUAAAGCUGAGGUGCUUCUGAGGACCUAAUAACUAAACCUGACUUUGGGGACUUGCAUUGAAGAGAACUUGCUGUUGGUUACCUCUGCUCCUUUUAUGAAAAGUGAAUAUGGAGAGAAAAGACCCCUACUUUUAACUUUUAACUGACUACUUCACCAACAAUGAUGACACUUGAGAGCGUCUUAUAGUUACUUCAAAACAUUGAGAACUGGGGGAGGGGCACAUGUAAAGAAGACACAAGAGUGUGGUGGCUAAGUGGCUUUCUGUACUUUGCACGUGCUUGAAAUUAUUGUUAAUGAAAUAUUUGUACACAUUAAAUGCCAAAUAAAUGCCAAGU